rnacentral:siRNA from 1 species
UGUGAUGGACAUGCUCUUCAUGCG